rnacentral:lncRNA from 1 species
GUCUCGAACUCCUGACCUCGUGAUCUGCCCGCCUUGGCCUCCCAAAGUGCUGGGAUUAUAGGCAUGAGCCACUCCGCCCGGCCAGGAGCUCACGUUCAAAACCAUGUGUUCGGCUACCUGAGCUCCACAACUGCUCCUUCUUUGGCCUCCGGUGAAAGUACAGGAACCCCAAAAAUGGUUUAUUCCCUCUCUUUUGAUGCUUCAAACAACUCUGGGAUCUGCCUCCCAUUUGCCAUGUUGAACCUGUUGGUUUGGUCUUGCCUGACCUCAGUAGUAGAUUGCUGGCUUCUCUCUGGCUGCCUGUGCUGGUCAUGCUAUUGCACACUGUCCUUGGAUUCCCUAGCUGCUCUCAUCCAACACUCUACAUCUACAUCCCAACCUCUCCUCAAAACCAGCCUCAAUUCUCAAAAUCUUAUCCUAUAGGAGGUCAUCAAGAAAAGAGCUCAGUUGGUUUACUAACACAAAAUAGAAGCACCUUUCAACUCUGCAUUUUAAUCUGAAUGUAAAUUAUAGAAUCAUGGAAAAACAGGUCUUUGAAGGGACAUGAAGGAGCCGGUGAUCCAAUCCCAUGACUAUUCUUACCCUGGCCCAAAAUCUUAGCUCUAUUUAAAAAUGAGCCUUUAAUUAGAAGAAAUUUUUUAGUAAAUUGGAUGAUAAGAGCUUUUUACAGAAAGGAAAAUCAAUUUGUAAAAGGAAAUCACUGGCAGCAUGCACCUUUUGUCCCAGCUACUCUGGGGGCUGGAGCAGGAGUAUCACCUGAGCCUUGCACUAUGUUGGCCAGGCUUGUUUUGAACUCCUGACCUCGUGAUCUGCCCGCCUCAGCCUCCCAAAGUGCUGGGGCAUAGUUUUUAAUUAGUGAAUUUCCCAGUAAUACACCUACUAUAUGAAUUAAGGGAAGCUUUUAUUAAGUUUUAUUUGGAAUAUAGCCAAUAGUAUUCACCAUUCCACAUACACACCUCUACUCACCUGUGCUCCUAGCUGCCACACAUUCAUGCUGAGAGGUGAAGUGUCUUAUGACUUCCUUUUGUCUUCUAGAAUGGUUGUGUUGAGCCUUUAAUACUUAUUGAAAUGCACAAGAGUGCAUCAUAAAUUAAUCUCCUUUUAUGUCUUCUUUAUAUUCCAGUUAGAGUAUUUUUUGGUGUUUUUUAUCAAAUUGUUCUGGUCCCCCUGUGACACUGGGCUCAGGCUUUUCUGACACACCCUCUUUGGUGGAGUUGGGUGCACCCUCCGGGCUAUGCCACCUCCUGAGUGCAUUGCCCUCCCUACACUGAGCCCUGGACGUUACAACUUUCCCCCCUUGUCCUCGUCUCUCCCACUGUGAGCUCUUGGAGGAAAGGGGACAUGUUUGUAUUCCAGCAUCCAGCCAAAUGUCUGGCACUUAGUAUGUGAGUGACUCAAAGAUAAAUCAAUGUUUAUAUCAAUAAUUUUCACUCUGCUUGGAAAUCCCAUAGGCAUUGUCAGGGUUAUGUCCUUGGAGCCUCUCCAAUUCUUACCUCCUCCUCUCUAGGCAACUCAACCACCCUUGAUUUGUUUUUAUGCUUCUUCCUCACGAAACUCUAUGCUUUGGCCUUUCAUAUCACGCGAGCCACAUUCCUCAGCAGGGUCUACACUCUGCAUCUCUUAGUGGGCUCUGUCUUUGCCUCAUCAGAGCAAGAAUUAAUAGUUAUUUCCCUUUAAAAAGAUGUAUUUUUAAAAU